rnacentral:rRNA from 1 species
CGCCCUUAGAGUUUGAUCAUGGCUCAGAGUGAACGCUGGCGGUAGGCCUAACACAUGCAAGUCGAACGGCAGAGGAGCUUGCUCCUUGCGAGUGGCGGACGGGUGAGGAAUACAUCGGAAUCUACUUUUUCGUGGGGGAUAACGUAGGGAAACUUACGCUAAUACCGCAUACGACCUACGGGUGAAAGCAGUUCGUUGCGCGAUUGAAUGAGCCGAUGUCGGAUUAGCUAGUUGGCGGGGUAAAGGCCCACCAAGGCGACGAUCCGUAGCUGGUCUGAGAGGAUGAUCAGCCACACUGGAACUGAGACACGGUCCAGACUCCUACGGGAGGCAGCAGUGGGGAAUAUUGGACAAUGGGCGCAAGCCUGAUCCAGCCAUACCGCGUGGGUGAAGAAGGCCUUCGGGUUGUAAAGCCCUUUUGUUGGGAAAGAAAUCCAGCCGUAAUUGGUUGGGAUGACGGUACCCAAAGAAUAAGCACCGGCUAACUUCGUGCCAGCAGCCGCGGUAAUACGAAGGGUGCAAGCGUUACUCGGAAUUACUGGGCGUAAAGCGUGCGUAGGUGGUUAUUUAAGUCCGUUGUGAAAGCCCUGGGCUCAACCUGGGAACUGCAGUGGAUACUGGAUGACUAGAAUGUGGUAGAGGGUAGCGGAAUUCCUGGUGUAGCAGUGAAAUGCGUAGAGAUCAGGAGGAGCAUCCAUGG